rnacentral:rRNA from 1 species
UGGGGAGUACGGGCCGCAAGGGUAAACNAAAAGGAAUUGACGGGGCNCCGCAACAAGCCGGCGGAGCAUGCGGAUUAAUUCGAUGCAACAGCGAAGAACCUUACCAAGGCUUGACAUUCACCGGACCGCCCCAGAGAUGGGGUUUCCCUUCGGGGCUGGUGGACAGGUGGUGCAUGGUUGUCGUCAGCUCGUGUCGUGAGAUGUUGGGUUAAGUCCCGCAACGAGCGCAACCCUCGUUCUAUGUUGCCAGCACGUGAUGGUGGGGACUCAUAGGAGACUGCCGGGGUCAACUCGGAGGAAGGUGGGGAUGACGUCAAAUCAUCAUGCCCCUUAUGUCUUGGGCUUCACGCAUGCUACAAUGGCCGGUACAAAGGGUUGCGAUACUGUGAGGUGGAGCUAAUCCCAAAAAGCCGGUCUCAGUUCGGAUUGAGGUCUGCAACUCGACCUCAUGAAGUCGGAGUCGCUAGUAAUCGCAGAUCAGCAACGCUGCGGUGAAUACGUUCCCGGGCCUUGUACACACCGCCCGUCAAGUCACGAAAG